rnacentral:lncRNA from 1 species
CUUUUACUUAGUGUUUAUUUGUUUAUUGGCACACCCUAUACUUUUGCCUAUCUAUACCACAGCUUUAAGGGUUUUUAGAGAGAAUUUCCCUUUUAGGUGUGCUGCCUUCCCUCUGUUAUUUAGCACGGCCCUGUUUUUUCUUUUUUCUUGAUAUGUUUGUGGCCCAGGCAGUCUUUUUUGGCAUUAUUACCAUUAUUACAAUUUCAUCCUUUGUGUUUAGGUGCACCCAUAAAUGUUAUAUAUCAUUUUUAAUGGACAAAUAGGACUUUCUCAAAAAAUAGAUUCAGUAAUCUAAAUGAACUAACCUAGUUCGGACUGUUAAAAUGCCCCAUAAGGAUAGGAUUUUAAUUCAUGUUUAGCAAUUGUAAAACAAAUAUUGCAAGGAGUGAAUUAUGGUUAUAGCUAAAACUUAGCACAAUUUGACAUGCUGAGAUUACACAUUUUAUAGAGAAUCCAAAACCGCUACACGAAAGUAUAUAUUUGUUGAAAGUAUGUCCUCCAGGUUAUGUAACUAAGAACAUUUUGACACAUUUUAUUUUACCAUUUUAUCAUGAACUAUGUUUGUGUGUUUUUUCACGUUUUAUUUUGGGGAAAUUCACAGACCACACCUGUACCAUUACUGCAAAUAACUGAUAUUUGCAUUCUGCUACUGUUCUCAAUUGUGAUACCCCAUAUAUACCUUUUCCUCUAAUCCAACACUUCUGCCAACCUUAACCUAACCCUACUGAAACCACUAUUCCUACUCAUAAUCACUCCAACCUAAAACCCAACUAAUAAUCCUAUCUAUAAUCCAAGGCACAAUACAACCCAAAACCUGCCCCUAAAUCCACCCCUAAUCGCACAUCAGAGGGAUUCCCUCUGCUGAAGUCAAUACUGACAUAAGCAAAGGGAUUUCACAGCCCCCACAGCAUUAUGAGCAUUAUGAACAUUCUUUACUGUGUGAUUUCAGCAUGAGAAGGAGAUCUUCCACUUUGCUGUCAAUGGCCUUUAAAGCUCUGCAUGGCAUGAUGACAUAAGGCAUCACAAGGUCCUUAAGAUGUUAAAAUAAUCUAAUGUUUUUAGGAAUGUUUAUUUUUAUUAGUUGGCUGCAUGGGGUAGAUAUUUUAUAUAGUUUUCUAUCAUUGUCAUUUGCUUAAAUUACUUGUUCAUCUUAACUUAGUUACAAUCUUCACUUUGCUAAAUUUUGUUUCAUUACAAUUUUUUUGUUUUUUUGUUUUCUUUGCAAUGUACUAACAUAUUCAACAGUGUUGUUUUUUUAUGAAGUGCCAAUAAUAUUAAAUAUGAUUAGUUUAUGAUGAUGCAUCCAAAAAUAUGAAUAAGCUAGUGUGUUCAUGCUUAGAAAUCACCGUAUCGUUCCAAAAUACAAGAAUACAGGUAGACAGGGACACAGGAGAUUAUUGCACUAUAACGAGAUCUAUAGGUGGCUAUCAUGCUCAGAAUUUCCCUUGAAGUGACAUGUGAACUCUAUCUAUUGUACUGGAUCCCAGCUAUGGAAUACACUAAAGAUUUUUAGAAUAGAUAAGCUACCUAUAUGCUUAUUAGUGCAUGUUGGAAAUCUUACAUUUACUCUAAUCUCUUAAUUCGGCCUCAAUUUUAUUUUUUGGGGAUAAGCUUAUCAAAC